AAGCAGUAAGGCUGAGUAUUAGGCAAAUCCGGUACUCGUUAAGGCUGAGCUGUGAUGGGGAGAAGACAUUGUGUCUUCGAGUCGUUGAUUUCACACUGCCGAGAAAAGCCUCUAGAUAGAAAAUAGGUGCCCGUACCGCAAACCGACACAGGUAGUCAAGAUGAGAAUUCUAAGGUGAGCGAGCGAACUCUCGUUAAGGAACUCGGCAAAAUGACCCCGUAACUUCGGGAGAAGGGGUGCUCUUUAGGGUUAACGCCCAGAAGAGCCGCAGUGAAUAGGCCCAAGCGACUGUUUAUCAAAAACACAGGUCUCUGCUAAACCGUAAGGUGAUGUAUAGGGGCUGACGCCUGCCCGGUGCUGGAAGGUUAAGAGGAGUGGUUAGCUUCUGCGAAGCUACGAAUCGAAGCCCCAGUAAACGGCGGCCGUAACUAUAACGGUCCUAAGGUAGCGAAAUUCCUUGUCGGGUAAGUUCCGACCCGCACGAAAGGCGUAACGAUUUGGGCACUGUCUCAACGAGAGACUCGGUGAAAUCAUAGUACCUGUGAAG
rnacentral:rRNA from 1 species